CUCUGCUGUUGAGGAAGCCCUGGCUGUGCAAUAAUGGGGCUGGGGGGCAGCGCAGACAGAUUCCAUUACUGAGGCAACAUCUUUACAGCAUUAUCUCUGCCAAUCGUGAGAUAAAUGUGGCCUCCCUUUUCUGGGAUUUCAGGAUUUCAGGCUAUAUCCCUUGGAGAUUUGGGAAAGUAACAGCAAAAAUUGGUACCCUCUCCAAAGGGACAAGAUGAG